UACAGAGGGUGCAAGCGUUGUUCGGAAUUAUUGGGCGUAAAGGGAGUGUAGGCUGUGAGGUGAGUCUUCUGUGAAAUCUACGGGCUUAGCCUGUAACGUGCAGAGGAAACUGCUUCGCUUGAGUGUCGGAGAGGAUAGGGGAAUACCCGGUGUAGAGGUGAAAUUCGUAGAGAUCGGGUGGAACACCAGUGGCGAAGGCGCCUAUCUGGCUGACAACUGACGCUGAGACUCGAAAGCAUGGGGAGCAAACAGG
rnacentral:rRNA from 1 species